rnacentral:misc_RNA from 1 species
AAACUCGAAACCUCUGUUGUUCGUCGCGGUUACAAUGGCGACUAACAACAUUAACGGGGAUAUCCUAAUGCUCGAAGCUCCACCGCAGCCGUCUCAACCAGCGUGGCGCGUUGCUGCAGAUGCGGAGUUAGUCGACGCCUUGCCCUACAUCGACGACGACUAUGCAGACCCAAGGGUCAAAGCAGAGGUCGACCGCUUGGUCGAGGAAGAGAUGCGUCGUAGCUCCAAGCGACCUGCCGACUUUCUCAAAG